CGGAAUAAACCUCGGCGUUUCCGGGAAAUCAAGUCUCAGGGUUUUGGCCGCCGGUACAAUGGGGAAGAUAUCAUACAUGAAGCUCAAGGGGAGCCAGAGCCUGAGGCUAAGGCUGCUGCUCUCCACCCUCUCGUCGACUCCAAUACUCAUCGAGGACAUACGCGCCGACGCCACAUGGCCCGGCCUACGCCCCCACGAAGUCUCCUUCCUCCGCCUCCUCGAGAAACUCUUCGACGACUGCGUCGUUGAAAUAAACGAAACUGGCACGAAGUUGAAGUACAGGCCGGGAAUAGUGAUGGGUGGGAAACAUUUAGCUCAUGAUUGUGGCGUCAAUCGCGCUAUUGGGUAUUUCAUUGAGCCUCUCAUCGUGCUUGGCUUGUUCGGGAAGAAGCCUCUUAGUAUUAGGCUGAAAGGGAUUACUAAUGACCCAAAAGACCCGUCUAUUGAUACCUUUAGAUCAACCACCUUGCCUAUUUUGAAGCUGUUUGGAGUUCCCUCAGAAGGACUGGAUUUGAAAAUUGAGAACAGGGGAGUUGCUCCCAAUGGCGGUGGAGAAGUAAUUUUGUCAGUCCCCAUUGUCCAGGAUAGUUUAAGAGCAGUUAGCUGGACUGACGUGGGAUUGGUGAAGAGGAUUAGAGGUGUUUCCUUUUCUACCAGAGUGUCUGCGCAGUUUGAGAAUACCAUGAUACAUGCAGCUCGUGGCAUCUUGAAUCCACUACUUGCUGAUGUCCAUAUAUUUACCGACCAUAAAGCUGGUGUACAAGCAGGAAAGUCUCCUGGCUAUGGGAUUUCUCUUGUUGCAGAAACUACUACUGGCUGCUUCAUCUCAGCUGACACUGCUGUUUCUUAUGCAAGACAAGAAGAAGAUGCUGAGAUUGGGGAUGAAGAUAGCAUCGAGUUAACCCCUCCUGUAGAUGUUGGUGAGCAAAUUGCUUCCGCACUUCUCGCGGAGAUUGAACAGGGAGGUGUCGUAGAUUCAACACACCAGGGUCUAUUGUUUCUUCUGUGUGCCUUGUGUCCACAAGAUGUCUCUAAAGUUGAGGUCGGUAAGCUCUCACCCUAUGCAAUAGAGACUUUAAGGCACAUCAGAGAUUUCUUGGGAGUUAAAUUCGUCAUCAACCCAGAACCCUCGUCGGGGACUGUCAUACUUAAGUGCGUUGGAUCUGGAUUGAAGAACAUGUCGAGGAAGUUAUCAUGAUGACCAACGGGGCGGAAUGUAUACUACUGAAGAAGGCCAUGGCAAGAACAUGGUUGUGUAAUUUGUUACAAAUUUUGUAGUAUCUAGCUAGAGACCCCUUACCUUCCUUAUAAGGGGUGGUGAGAUCUUAGUUUUAAAGUUGUGCGCUUAUAAUUUCUUCAAAUUAUUAUUUGCCCUCGUUUGUAAUUUCCGUUCCCAAUUUGAGUAUUAACGACGACCGGUAACUU